UACGUAGGAUCCAAGCGUUGUCCGGAUUUACUGGGUGUAAAGGGUGCGCAGGCGGACUUGUUAGUCAGAGGUGAAAUCUCACAGCUUAACUGUGAAACUGCCUUUGAUACUGCAGGUCUUGAAUCCAGAAGAGAGUUGUGGAAUUCCGAGUGUAGCAGUGAAAUGUGUAGAUAUUCGGAAGAACACCAGCGGCGAAGGCAGCAACUUGGUCUGGUAUUGACGCUCAGGCACGAAAGCAUGGGGAUCAAACAGG
rnacentral:rRNA from 1 species